CCCGGCUCUCGGUUCAGGCCACUCCGGACUCCUCUCCCGCCAGCCCGGAGCGAAAGCACCGAGCUGCCUCCUCUCCCGGGUGUUCCCCACCGCCCCGAGCUGCACCUCCGACCCCCGUUAGGUUUCCGCUCUGGCCCCUUUGCGGCUCCUAGAACAGGGGCUGCGGGCUCUGCCCUCGGGUAGAGUGCCCUACAGCCCAAAGUGUGAUAAUCAUCUUCGGGAGGAGACCAGAGGACUUGAAAGCGAUAUGUCGUCAAUCCUAGCUAUUCUAGAUCCUAGCAGAUACCCGUGUGCCUGACCCAUCCCCAGCCACCUAGGGCCCUGGGCUCAGAUCUGGUGAAUCCCCUAAGGCCGGUGGCCGCUGGCCCUGAGCAGCCUGAGCCUACCUGUGAACUCUCCGCCGCAGAGAGUUAAUAAUCUAUAAACAGUGAACAGGUGCAGAAGCUCUUCUAAGGCAAGGAAAUGUGUGAACCACUAUUUUAUCUAUAUGUACAAAGAUCGAGAUGAAUGAAGAAAGAGCAACGACAUAAGAAUGACAGUA